AAUUUCAUAAGUUGUAAUUAAUUUCAUCUUUUGAAAUGGUUGACUUGUUUAUUAUUGACUUUUAUGAUAGAGUAAGUUCCAAUUUGUUCCUGAACUGUCUGAGCAAACCAAGAGAAUACUAAAGGAUAACAUGAGUAAUAAGUGGAGGCAAUUCAAGCAUGAUUUGAAAUCAAAGGCAUAUGAUGCAAGUAAGACUAAGGAAGAAAUGGCUGCCAACAUCCCAGACAAAAGGGUUGAUCCUUCUUAGUAUCGUGAUUUAGUACAUCAUUGGUGUUCUAAGAAAGGACAAGACAUAAGUAUCAUGAAUAAAAGAAGUCGCUCAAAAUAUGAGGAUCUACAUUGCAUGGGUACCAAAAAUAUCCCAAGGUUAAUUCAUGAGAAAAAAAAAAGGAGAAUGGAGUGCAACCCUCACGAGCUGAAAUUUAUAUUGAUACUCGGACUCGAAAAGAUGGGAGCAUUGUGAAUGAAAAGGCAGUCCAUGUGAUUGACGAAUUAAAGAAGCAUAUGGUGGAGGUAGAAAGCUUAGGAGGAUCUCAAACUGCUCCUGAUUAUACAAAUUGGAAAAAUGACAUCUAUUCAAAAGUGAAAGGGCUUGAAAAAAGAGGACAUGUACGUUGUCUUGGCAAACUUCCACUUGCUAAAAAUUCAAAUACUGCAGCUCAAAGUUCUACUGCAGAACUUAGAAUUCAAAAAUUAGAGAAGGUACUUGGAAAUCUUGUUUCUUUUCUUCAAGCACGAUUUUCAGGAGUUCAAGAGAUUAAUGACAUUAUAGAAGCUGUAGAUCAAGAGAUACCCGAUGCUGCAAGUAACAGAAACGAUUAUAAUAAUAACAUUUAGUGAACUACAAGUGGUGGGUGUUAGGUGAUAUCGAUAAUCGUAAG